rnacentral:tRNA from 1 species
GCCCCGGUUGCCUAGUGGUUAGGGCGGCCGCCUCGUAAGCGGCAGGUCGCGGGUUCAACCCCCGCCCGGGGCU